UGACUUGCUGAGCCAGUCUGUCCAAAGUGGAGGUGACCUGAGCCUUCUGUCGCUCAAUCUCAUCUUCAAUCUUCACAAUAAAAAAUAAAGUCUUGGCUCAUCGCUGUAACUCCAUUACGGACUCAGGAGAGGCGAAGGUCGAGAGCCAUGCAUCCUCCGAAACACGACCCUGCCAAGCCACACUGCUUUUUGACACACUGCUCGCUUAACCCGGAAGCCAGCUGCACCAAUGUGUCAGGGGAAACACCGUGCAGCAGGCGCCCGGCCCGCCACAAGGAGUCGCUAGAGUGCGAAGGGACAAGGAAAUCCCGGCCGGCCAAACCCUUCCCUAAAGGCCAGCCUGGGACCUGUGACACAGCCUGGGGUCGAACCCGGGCUGUUACUUUUUUAAACUGGUCUUCCACCAACCUUUCCAUAUGUCAUUACAGUUUGGAUUUAAUUUAUUAUCUUUCACUUGACACACUCACUGUCUCUGCCAUGGGUAAACUGUCAUCGUCUUCACCCUCACUCAGUAAAUCAAUACACUCCAGUACAGGUCUGAGUGGAGCCUCCUGAAACAAAAUAGUUAAAUGGAUGAGACACUGUCUGACACUGUCUUUAAUAAACUGUUGACUCACUUA